UUCGGUGGCCAUGGCGGAGGGGUCACACCCGUUCCCAUUCCGAACACGGAAGUUAAGCCCUCCAGCGCCGAUGGUACUUGGGUCGAGAGGCCCUGGGAGAGUAGGACGCCGCCGAGU
rnacentral:rRNA from 1 species